AGGAUGAAUUUCCAUGGAUAUAAAAUAUGCACCACAUGUUGUGCUGGGAGUGAGCAUAUCUUUAAGAUGCUCCAGAGGCUUCUAGAAUGGAGCAGAGAAUGGGUAUGAGAUUAGGGCAUCCUUGGCCUGGUGUAGUAGCCACAGAAUAACAAUGGCGAACACACAGCUCUUCUCCAGCAACAGGGGACUCUCCCUUGAAGCACUGAGGUCUGCAUUUGAGAAGCCGGCCACACUGCAUAUACCGGAGCAGCAAUCACGUUAUCUUCUGAGAGCUACCGCUGAUGUCACGUGGUAACAAGGAAGGGACUCGUGCUGGGGGAUAGUCAGGCCAACCACUAUUGGUAUUGUACACCUAGAGUCCUCAAGCUGCUACAGAAAAUGCUGUCCCCUACACUGGUGUACUGUGAAGAGCCAAUCAAAGACUGAACAGCCAAAACUUGAGAAAAAUAGUUUGAGAAAGAUAUGCCAUAAAGGGCAUUAAUAAAAAUAUUAUUUUUCUGUAUGUUGGUGAAAUUUUUUUUGAAAGAGGUUCCCCCAAUUUGUGGAUGCUUUAGGCCCUGCAAACCCUGGUUCUGCUCCUGAUGGCUGCUGCACGGCCAGUAGUCUAAUUUACAGUGACCACCAAUGGAUAUUUGGGCUUGCCUAUGGGAACC